UUCCCAGUGUAGCGGUGAAAUGCGUAGAUAUUGGGAAGAACAUCGGUGGCGAAGGCGUGCUACUGGACCGUAACUGACACUCAGGGACGAAAGCUAGGGGAGCGAAAGGGAUUAGAUACCCCUGUAGUCCUAGCUGUAAACGAUGGAAACUAGGUGUGGCUUGUAUCGACCCGAGCCGUGCCGUAGCUAACGCGUUAAGUUUCCCGCCUGGGGAGUACGCACGCAAGUGUGAAACUCAAAGGAAUUGACGGGGGCCCGCACAAGCGGUGGAGUAUGUGGUUUAAUUCGAUGCAACGCGAAGAACCUUACCAGGGCUUGACAUGUCGCGAAUCUCGGUGAAAGCUGAGAGUGCCUUCGGGAGCGCGAACACAGGUGGUGCAUGGCCGUCGUCAGCUCGUGUCGUGAGAUGUUGGGUUAAGUCCCGCAACGAGCGCAACCCUUAUUUUUAGUUGCCAGCAUUAAGAUGGGCACUCUAGAAAGACUGCCGGUGACAAACCGGAGGAAGGUGAGGACGACGUCAAGUCAGCAUGCCCCCUACGCCCUGGGCUACACACGUACUACAAUGGUUGGGACAAAGGGCAGCGACUCCGCAAGGAAUAGCGAAUCUCAUCAAACCCAGCCUCAGUUCAGAUUGCAGGCUGCAACUCGCCUGCAUGAAGGAGGAAUCGCUAGUAAUCGCAGGUCAGCAUACUGCGGUGAAUUCGUUCCCGGGCCUUGUACACACCGCCCGUCACACCAUGGAAGCUGGUCACGCCCGAAGUAGUUACCCUAACCUUUCGAGGAGGGGGAUUCCUAAGGCAGGGCUAGUGACUGGGGUGAAGUCGUAACAAGGUAACC
rnacentral:rRNA from 1 species